rnacentral:rRNA from 1 species
AAACCAGGAUUAGAUACCCUAUUAUAAAAAUUUAAAAUUAUUGCUAAAAAAUUAAUAGUUAAGUUCUUUAAAUUUAAAAAAUUUGGCGGUAUUUUAGUCUUAUUAGAGGAACCUGUUUAUUAAUUGAUAAUCCACGAUUAAUUUUACUUAUUUUUUAAAUUCAUAUAUCGCUGUCAUGAAUAUAUUUAAAAAUUUAUUUUCUAUAAUUAAUAUUAUAAUUUAUGUUAAGUCAAGAUGUGGUUAAUUUUUAAGAUUUUAAUGGGUUACAAUAAAUUUUAUUUAUGGAUUUUAAAUGAAAAAUAUAAUGAAAUUGGAUUUAAUAGUAAAUUUAUUUAUUUAAUAAA